UGGGUUUCACAAACAGGGCCAGCAAUGAUGGGUCUCAGUUUCAGGUCAGUAGGGGGAGGAUCAUUGACAACCGAUGCUGGUGUGUUUAUGUCCCCCCAUAACUUAGCGCUUCGGCAAAACAGACCGAUAGAAUAAGUCCUGGGGUGCUCCAGCAUGGCCAGUCAAAAGAAAGACUGAAACAAGUAAAAGAGUAUAUAUACAUAUAUAAUCGUUUUAUGUUUCAUAUAUAUAUAUAAUUGUUUGUGUAUGAUUCCACGUGCAUCUCUCGGUUUCAAAGUUGUCGCAGUGUUUCUGUCAUGUGCUGUGAAAAAGGGGUAAGUGAUACGAGGGAUCCCGGAUUAUACAACACUGCUUCAGACAAACCUAUCCAACCCAUGAGCCUGCGGAAGAAGAGGUGAUGAGGAAGACAUGGAAAGAAACCAAGCAGUUACUCUGGAGGACUGGACAAAGAAGUUAGCUUCAAAUUGAUAAGUUCCUGGCUCUGAAUAUAAGAAAACACAAGACGAUGACAAUAUUAAUGUGUCAAUAAAGAGUUAAAAGACAA